UACGUAGGGGGCGAGCGUUACCCGGAUUUACUGGGCGUAAAGCGCGUGUAGGCGGCUGGUCAAGCGUGGUGUGAAAUCUCCGGGCUCAACCCGGAAACUGCAUUGCGAACUGACCUGGCUGGAGUGCAGGAGAGGGCAGCGGAAUUCCCGGUGUAGCGGUGAAAUGCGUAGAGAUCGGGAGGAACAUCAGUUGCGAAGGCGGCUCUCUGGACCAGCACUGACACUGAGGCACGAAAGCGUGGGGAGCAAACAGG
rnacentral:rRNA from 1 species